CAACGUGGGUAACCUGCCCAAGAGACUGGGAUAACACCUGGAAACAGAUGCUAAUACCGGAUAACAACACUAGACGCAUGUCUAGAGUUUAAAAGAUGGUUCUGCUAUCACUCUUGGAUGGACCUGCGGUGCAUUAGCUAGUUGGUAAGGUAACGGCUUACCAAGGCAAUGAUGCAUAGCCGAGUUGAGAGACUGAUCGGCCACAUUGGGACUGAGACACGGCCCAAACUCCUACGGGAGGCAGCAG
rnacentral:rRNA from 1 species